UUAAAAUUAAAUAUGGGUUUGUAUUUGCAGGUCACAUUAUGAUUUUAUUGGACAGCACUGUUUCAAACAAAACAAAUUAGACAUAGAGCUGAGAAGUGACUUGCCCAAGACAGCUCAGCUUUCAUCACCAGAACACAGAUUUAUUGAGAUGCUCUCUACAGUUCUUAUGUGAUCAUUUGCAGUGUAAAAUGCACAUGUGACUGCUCAAUCUAAGGGACUUACCAAUUUGGGCCUCUUCCAGGAGCUGAAAACCGAUUACAAAUAUGAAACAGAUUUCACUACUGGAAUUGAAUGCCACAUAAAAAAAAAAGGCUCCUCAAAAUAAUUGAAAGAGAUCUUCACCAAAGAGUAGCUGCAAUGUGAAUGGCAGGAUAUCAAGGAAGUAAAAGAAAUGUGAUCAUUGAUACCAACAUUAUAAGGUGCUAUUCCUCAUUGGAAAACACAUUGGAAGAAAACCUAAAAUGGAUGAUGCAAUGGGAAUAAGAGAAAAUGACUUCUACGAUAGUAUUGGGGCUCUGAACACAAUACCCCGAAGGGCAGCGCCUUGGCAUGCUGAGUAUUGUUGAGCUGAAGGAGACAGGAGGGCCUCAGGAGCAAGUAGGUGUCUCUGAUCUUCUGGCCUCCUGUCUCCCGCUCCUUUCUCUCCUCCAAAACAGGCCAUAAAACCUAGAAAGCUCAUCUCUGACCAACCUCCCCUGAAAGUGGACAUAAGACGUUCAUGUACCAGGUGUCCUGCCCUGUACCAGAUGGAAAGGAAUGCUGCACCGAGGGGCCAAGAAGAAUCUGAACAAACAUAUUAUGCUGGGUUUUCCCCUCAGUUUAUUACCAUUAAUUCGAUCCUACCUUUUUUGUCUAACCAUGUUUCUCCACAGCUGUCCUUUUUUUUUUUCAUCAAACUUAGCAUAAAAACACAGUUUCCCCUGGGUUUGGGGGUCAUUAUUUCUGAAGGCUCUCAUGUCACAUAAAACUUUGUUUAAUAAAUUUGUUCUGCUUUUCUGUUGCUAAAUGUCUUUUGUCUUAGGAAUGUUGACCAUGGCCCUUGUGAUGGGUUAGGAGAGGUAUUAUCCCUUCACCCCUAUAGUGGUUAUGGUUCUUUUUUUUUUUUUUUGGUUAUGGUUCUUGAACAAGUUAGUUUGGGGACUGAGUCUGAAUUAGAACUCAGAUUUCCUUAAGUUAUUCUUCUGUGUAUUUUCAUUUACAUCAUCCUGUGCAAAAUAUUUGCUCUCGUGGGGCUUUUACAGGUUGAAAACAGUCACGAUGUAGAUUCAUCUUCAAUGGUAGAUUUUAACAAACUCCAUAAAUGAUCUUUAGUCCUAAGCUAUCAGAUGGAGAGUCCGUGUGCUUGUACGUGCAAUGGUGGCUUCAAAAUUCUCUUAGAAAUCGAAAUUGCAAGGUAUCUGCUGGACUCCUGCUCUGCCCCCAAGUAGAAGCAGCCCUGGUAGUUCUUCCACCUUUCUGUGGCAAAAAUCACAAGGAUUUGCCAUGCUGGUUAAAGUCCAUUGUCUUCUGUGAGAACUUUAAUUCAGUAAUAGCUUCUGUCUGCAGUCUUUAUUAUGCCUCAUGAGAAAAUUCAGGGGCUUGUUCCUGAAUGAGUAACACGAGCAGGCUUGUAGUUCUCCAGAACACCUUAAGUUGGCUCCACAAUCUCAGAUUGCACUCAGUGUACAUAAAACUUCUCUGAGAUUUCCAUAAAUAUUUCUACCAUCUAAAUCUUAUUUGGAUUCUUUUCUUCAUUGCUUCUACACGAAUCCCUCUCUCCUUAGUGAUACCUUCAUGAAGCGACCUAGUUCUCCUCUUGGGUAGCAGUACUGACAAGAAUGU